rnacentral:tRNA from 1 species
CCUGUGGCUCAGUGAUAGAGCAUUCGCUUUGUGUGCAGAAGAUCUCAGGUUCAAGUACUGUAUAGCAGGU